rnacentral:rRNA from 1 species
GACCUCCAAUCAGAUAAGACUACCCGCGAA